rnacentral:lncRNA from 1 species
UGAUAAUUACGUGGGAGGCAGGUGGCCAAUCAGAUAACACCUCCGGCAUCAUAAGUGCAAGCACUGGUAACACAGCACACUUCAGCCUUAAACCACUAGACGAUUCGGAGGGUGACAUUUACGUCUGUCGAGUAUCCCUCCCUGAGUCUGAAACAAAAGUCAAUGAACCUGAAGACAAAGGGAACGGUCUCCAUGAGAACCUCUAUCGCGCCAACCAUAAAGAAAGCAGCCUUCAGCAAGCACAGACAAUCCUCACCGGCAUGGUCAUUGGGCUCAAUGCAAGUGAAAUUUCUGUCCAGUGGGUGAAGAAUGCCCUCCUUGAAGGUCACCAUGUGAAUCCCCGAGUCUUGAAGGGCAGCAUCAAGGAUUCCCUCUUGGCCCUCAGCCAGGUGGUAAUCCCCUACUCUGACUGGCACAACGGUACUUCAUACUCCUGUACGUUUACCCGCACAGCAGGCACCGUGGAGCCCACCCAGAGGCCUGAGGAGAAAUCCCAGGGUGAAAAGUGAUGCAAACCCCAUCCUCAGCAUCACAACCUCUUCAGCCUAUCCCAGAUUCAAUAAUUUCCAUGUAUCCAUGUUUGGCCUAAGGCUAAAUAAAAAUGAGCAUACUCACAGAUAUUUCAUGAUUUGAUCACUUGAUUGAGGUGGUGGGUGGGUUCUGGAAAGAAGUGGGGAAUGGAUUAAUCUCCCUGCAAAAUCGUGUUGAAGUUUGAUUAUUGUAGAAGCAAAGUGUGUUUAGCACAUAACCAUGAAGUUCACUGGGGGGGCUUUUGGCUAGUCACUCUCUCUUAGCCUAUCCUUCCUCACCAGGGUUUAGACUCUAACCGAGCACAGAUUUUUGUGUCUCCCCCCCCCCCAGCAAAGCAUGUCCUAUAAAAGGAAAGGUGAGUGGAGUGACAACAAUUCAUUUUGCUGACCAGUGUCUUCUGCCUGUUGAUCAUGUCUACCCAGCAUCAGUUGACCUAGAUGAACAGGUGGUGCAGUUGGUGGCAGAUUUUCAUA